GAAGCAAUAUACAACGCCGCCGGGACUGCAGAGGCGCAUUUGGCCGCCGGCUGCGCCCAGUAAGUGGGUGCAGCCGGCGCAAGCCGUCGGCGCCGACCAGCAGCGCUACAGGGGUGUGCAAAACGGGAACUACCAGGAAAGCGAUGUGCGCCCAAGAGCCGCUUCAGAGGUGGCGUGUGGCUUGCACCGGGACACCUCAGUCAGCGGGCGCUGCUGACGGGUCCUCAGUGAGCCCGUGAAGAACACGAGGACCUGCGACUGGACUCCUUGCAACACCACCUGAGGGAGGCUCCCAGCGAGGAAGAAGCCAGGCCCCCUGCACAACAGCCUAGGGGGGCCUGCCCUAACGCUAAACGGCAGAGGAAAACGAUUAUGAAAAACGGACAUGAUGGGGAGGCUGCAACAACCACCUUCAGUAGCUCUCCGACACCAACACCUUUGUCAUGGGUCACCGCAUCAGCUGAGACUCUGCUCUGUGUUUGACACUGGAGCUGUUGACCAUCUUACCAGCCCAGAGAGUAGUAAUGAGAGCCACUGCUGAAGAGCAUCUGGACAUCAGUAGUCAUUCUGUUGAAGGGGUACGGGCAUGUACGACGAAUGGAGGAAGCCAGAAUACCAAAACUGAUACUGGAGAGUGGGAACCAGAGGGGAGAAGAAGAAGAGGCUGACCUUUGACCACCUGGCUCCAAAAUCUAAAGCACACAAUGAGGAGGAUGGGCACAGAAGAAGAGGACACACAAGACCGAAACACCUGGAGGAAUAUUUGGAAAAUAUAGUUUAAGAACAUUUAUUCUUUGUAUUGUAAUUUCCGAGUAAAUUAUUAUGUUGGAGAUAAGCCUCUGUAAUGAGGAAAAGUAUUGUGUUUACAUCUGUGAGUUUAUUACUUUAGCAUGGCAUGUAAGAAAUUUCAUUUCAGAGAAGUACAGUAUAUGAAAACAUUUGUCCAGACAUUUGAGAAGCACAUUUGUCACACAAAUGAUAUAUGGACUUUCACAAUUCUGACAACAUCAAACAUUACACACUAUAAAAUCACUGUGUUCAUUCACCAUGAUUAAUGCUUCACUUAGGAUUGCAUUUAUGAACACAGACCUGUAGAAUAUGACUAUACAAUCAUAAAUCAUUUCCACAUUGUGGGAUACAGAGUUUCUGUAAUUUUUUUUUUUUCGGGUGGGGUUUCUUUGCCUUUUUGUCUGGGCUUACUCAGCUUUCUGCAGUUUAUACGUUCUACAAGCAGACCCUUGAACCAUGUUGGAUUUGUUGUCAGCAUUUGGUACAAUUAGUCUGUGAAUGGAUGCUUUUAGCUAGUUGGAAUGUUCUGUACGGGUGGUCAGGACACAAGAACACACAUGGAGGAAAGAAACUGAGAAGUAACUUGUUAUUUUCUAGAAUUCCUUGACAUUUUCCAGACACUUAGUUUUUAUGCUACAUUAUUCUUCAAAAGUUAACUGAAAAAUUUGGAAAUUUAUUUAUGUAAAAAUAUAAAUUCUAUUGCUAAAAACAUAUUUUGUGUGGGAGGGGGAUAGGGUGGGUCAUGACUGUCCAUUUCUAACUUAUGCUUGCCUCUUCCUGAGGCUUCUGCAUUAAUGUGCCACUGGAGGUCAUACCAUAUGGGUUACAUGAUAGUGUCAACAGAAGUACAUUUGCAGAUUUGUUGUGAUGAACCGAGAAGUAAAUGUAGCUGGGGAAAAUACAGCAGGUGAAGUGAUAGACUUCACCUCUGUAGAAGGCAUUAUUAAGUGAACUGAAGAAGGCAAAGUGAGGGAUGUGUCACAAGAUUGCAGUCCACAUCAAAAUGCUUUUAUCAAAUACUGAGCAGAAACUGAGUAAGGUAUUUGUGAUGUUGCCUGAAACUCAGUAUUUUAUAAAAUGAAAACAGAACUUUGGGGCCCCCAGAGAAGAAGACACUGAAAGCAUUUGUAAUGUGGCAAAGUCUGUAGGCAGUGGAAAUACAGCAUGAGCAGUUACUACUAUGAGUAAGUGAAGAUGAAAACUUUCACAAAAGGGACAAAUCUCCUACAGAGUCCAAGAACAGUUACCUUUGGACUGAUCUCCUAAGGUGUCCAAGGACAGUUAACUUUGGACUGGAAGGAGGAAUAAAGGAAUAAAAUGAGAGAGAGAGAGAGAGAGAGAGACAAUGCACAUUGUUGUUGUUGUUGUGGGACCAGCUUCAUGCAGCUCUCAAUUAUCUUCUGCUAGGCUUUUCAUUUCUGCAGAAGUACCGCAGCAUAUAUUCACUUCAACCUCAUAUUUGUAAUCAAACCUUGAGCUCCCAUUGGGUCACACUUCUCUCAAUGCCCGAACUGACUAUUCUUUGAUGCCUCAGGGUAUGUUCUAUCAAUUGAUCUCUUAUUUUAGUCACAUUACGUCACAAUGCUAUUUUCUCCCUAAUCCAAUUCAUAACCUCCUCAGUAGUUACUCUGUCUCCAAAUCUUAUCUUCAGCAUUCUUCUGUAGCACCACAUUUCAAAAGCUUCUAUCCUCUUCUAAUCUGUACCACUCAUCAUCCAUGCUUCACUUCCAGUCCAGACAAAUAGUUUCAGGAAAGAUUUCCUAACUCAUUAAUUUAUGUUAAAUGUUAAAACAUUUCUCUUCUUUAGAAACACUUCACUUGCUGUUGCUAGUCAGCAUCUUUUCUUCUCUGUACUUGAGCCAACAUCAGUUAUCUUACUGACAAAACUACUACUGUUAGUGACUCAUAUACUGAUCUUAUUCCCUCAGUACCAUCUGGCUUAAUUUUAUUACACUCCAUUAUCCGUAUUUUAUUUUUCUUCAAAUUGAUCUUUAAUCUUUUUUAAAGAUAUAAAUUAUUCUGCUCAACUGCUCUUGCAGGUCCAUAGAUGUCUCUGGCAUAAUUACAUUGUCAUGACAAACCUUGAACUUUUCAUUUUUUAUCAUUGAACUUUUAUUCCAUUUCCAAAUUUCUUAUUUCUUUCCUUUAGAACUUGGUUAAUGUACAGCAUGAAUAACAUUUUGGACAGGCUACAACCCUUUCCCACACCCGUCUCAACUUCUGCAUUCCUUUAAUUUGAUGAGUAGAAAUGUAAUACCGUGUACUGCAUAGAGUGACUCUUUCACUGAGUUCAUAUGGCUGUAAUUUAGUAAAUGUUAAAACUGUUAGGGGAUUUGUAUGCAUGAAGAUUUUCAUAGACUGAGAGUACUUUGUAAGGUGCACUGUAAAGCAUUAAAAGCAUCUGACAUAA